rnacentral:rRNA from 1 species
GUCGACGGUAGAGGGGGCAACCCCUCGAGAGUGGCGAACGGGUGAGUAAUAUAUCGGAACGUGCCCAGUCGUGGGGGAUAACGUAGCGAAAGUUACGCUAAUACCGCAUACGAUCUACGGAUGAAAGCGGGGGACUCGCAAGAGCCUCGCGCGAUUGGAGCGGCCGAUAUCAGAUUAGGUAGUUGGUGGGGUAAAGGCUCACCAAGCCAACGAUCUGUAGCUGGUCUGAGAGGACGACCAGCCACACUGGAACUGAGACACGGUCCAGACUCCUACGGGGGGCAGCAGUGGGGAAUUUUGGACAAUGGACGCAAGUCUGAUCCAGCCAUUCCGCGUGCAGGAUGAAGGCCCUCGGGUUGUAAACUGCUUUUGUACGGAACGAAAAGGUCUCUAUUAAUACUAGGGGCUCAUGACGGUACCGUAAGAAUAAGCACCGGCUAACUACGUGCCAGCAGCCGCGGUAAUACGUAGGGUGCAAGCGUUAAUCGGAAUUACUGGGCGUAAAGCGUGCGCAGGCGGUUAUGUAAGACAGAGGUGAAAUCCCCGGGCUCAACCUGGGAACUGCCUUUGUGACUGCAUAGCUAGAGUACGGUAGAGGGGGAUGGAAUUCCGCGUGUAGCGGUGAAAUGCGUAGAUAUGCGGAGGAACACCGAUGGCGAAGGCAAUCCCCUGGACCUGUACUGACGCUCAUGCACGAAAGCGUGGGGAGCAAACAGGAUUAGAUACCCUGGUAGUCCACGCCCUAAACGA